rnacentral:rRNA from 1 species
UACGUAGGGUGCAAGCGUUAAUCGGAAUUACUGGGCGUAAAGCGUGCGCAGGCGGUUUUGUAAGUCUGUCGUGAAAUCCCCCGGGCUCAACCUGGGAAUUGCGAUGGAGACUGCAAGGCUAGAAUCUGGCAGAGGGGGUAGAAUUCCACGUGUAGCAGUGAAAUGCGUAGAUAUGCGGAGGAACACCGAUGGCGAAGGCAAUCCCUGGCCUGCACUGACGCUCGAUGCACGGAAA